rnacentral:rRNA from 1 species
UACGUAGGGAGCAAGCGUUGUCCGGAAUCAUUGGGCGUAAAGAGCGCGUAGGCGGUCCGAUAAGUCAGCUGUGAAAGUCAAGGGCUCAACCCUUGAAAGCCGGUUGAUACUGUCGGGCUAGAGUCCGGAAGAGGCGAGUGGAAUUCCCGGUGUAGCGGUGAAAUGCGCAGAUAUCUGGAGGAACACCGGUGGCGAAGGCGGCAUCCUGGACCAACACUGACGCUGAGUGAGCGAAAGCCAGGGGAGCAAACGGG